GCCAGCCCGCUCAGAAACUCAAAGGAAGUUGACGGGGCCCGGCACAAGCGGAGGAGCAUGUGGUUAAUUCGAUGAUACGCGAGGAACCUUACCUGGGCUCGAACGUAAGAUGACUGUAGGUGAAAGCUUACAUCUCUUCGGAGCAUUUUACGAGGUGCUGCAUGGUUGUCGUCAGCUCGCGCCGUGAGGUGUCGGGUUAAGUCCCAUAACGAGCGCAACCCCUACCUUUAGUUGCCAUCAGGUUAAGCUGGGGACUCUAAAGGAACUGCCUACGCAAGUAGUGAGGAAGGCGGGGAUGACGUCAAAUCAGCACGGCCCUUACGUCCAGGGCUACACACGUGCUACAAUGGCCGAUACAGAGGGCAGCUACCUGGUGACAGGAUGCAAAUCUCCAAAGUCGGUCUCAGUUCGGAUCGGAGUCUGCAACCCGACUCCGUGAAGUUGGAUUCGCUAGUAAUCGCGCAUCAGCCAUGGCGCGGUGAAUACGUUCCCGGGCCUU
rnacentral:rRNA from 1 species